CUACGGGGUGCUGCAGUAAGGAAUAUUGCGCAAUGGAGGCAACUCUGACGCAGCCAUGCCGCGUGCAGGAAGAAGGCCUUAUGGGUCGUAAACUGCUUUUAUUUAGGAAUAAACCCCCGACCGUGUUCGGGGCUGAAGGUACUAAACGAAUAAGCACCGGCUAACUCCGUGCCAGCAGCCGCGGUAAUACGGAGGGUGCAAGCGUUAUCCGGAUUUAUUGGGUUUAAAGGGUGCGCAGGCGGGCUAUUAAGUCAGUGGUGAAAUCCCGGGGCUCAACUCCGGAACUGCCAUUGAUACUGAUAGUCUUGAGUUUGGUUGAAGUGGGCGGAAUGUAGCAUGUAGCGGUGAAAUGCAUAGAUAUGCUACAGAACACCAAUCGCGAAGGCAGCUCACUAAGCCAAAACUGACGCUCAUGCACGAAAGCGUGGGGAUCAAACAGGAUUAGAUACCCCCGUAGUC
rnacentral:rRNA from 1 species